GUUAAACCUAAAAUCUAUUAUUCUCUUCUAGCGUCUUCUCCCCCAAGAGCUUCUUCCUCUCUCCAAUGACGAUUUGUUCUUCUUUGAACGGUUAAAUCCGCCUGUCUCUAUCCUAUAUUUAUGCUUAGUUGUUCAUAUGCAGUAAACUGUCUAGCAAAUCUGAUCAGAAUUUGCCAUGUUUGCAUCCGCUACAAAGUUUCUACAGAAACUCUAGAACAAUAUAUUAUGCUCGUGUUUUGGUUCAAGUCUUGGUGAAAACGUUUCCGCGGAAAAUCUCCUCAAGUGCAGGGGAUCUUCUUAGUUGUUCAUAUGCGGUACUUGACAAGACAAACUCGAUUGACGGAACAGUUCCAGAAGAAGUUAUGUUUCAGAGCGAGGUGAAGAAGCUACAACAGGAGCAGUUCAGGCCAGCAGAGCAAGGUUCAAUUUCAUCACAAGAGAUGCUGCAGUACAUCGUCUUGGAGUGAAACAUGAUCUUACAUGAGCGAUCUAUUGUACCAGCAAGACCUCUCAAACAGCUUUGCCUUCCAUUUUUUUCUUUUGUGCACCAACAGCUUUGCCUUCCAAAUGCACGUUUCUUCACUCUUUUUUUGUUGUUGUCCUGAUCCAUAUUAUCAUCAUUACUUCCCGAACAUACAAAAUGUUACCAAGUAAUCAAUUGGUUGUAUCUUGUAAGCU